CGUCGUUCUCCUUGCCGCCCCCACCUGCCACUGCCACCGCCGUAGCCGCCUUCAUACUGGUCACCGGCUUUGUCUGUCUUGAGCCAUUUGGGGGCCCAGCCACCCUCAGUGCCACCUCCAUAGUUACUACGGCCUCCGCCGCCCGCCGCCACCAUCUUCACCAGCACUCCCGACAGCCUCCGCGGGUCUUCUGGCUGUUCCUACUUCCUGUUUCCGGGCAUCCAUUUUUGUUGUCAACCCUGAGGUCGUUCUGAUUUUUGUUCCUUUGUAGGCAGAUCCAGUGAGAAAGUGCACACACACUCGUGACUUUCUUGGACACUUCUUACCAGGGGGUCUCACCAAGCUGCAGGUUGCUGUAUGUCUAGGCUCCUAAAAAGAAGUCCUGUUUAGCGCUGAGAUUGCACAAAGGAAUGACAAGGUCCCUGAUCACAGCAUUUCUGAGGAGUAGUGAUGGUCUGGCUUCAGAACUAGCAAGAGCUCAGUGUCUUCUUUGGUCUUAAGACUAGUCAGCCUGCCUGAUCAGCCCCCAAGCCUCUCCAGGAGCAUAUAGCAGGUCAUCCAUACAUUUAUUCACCUAUCCAUUUAUACCUUCGUUUGUUUCCUCAUUGACUUAUUUUCCUAUUUGCAAAAGAUUGGAAGACAAACACAGCAUUAUAUCCUUAAGAAAUUUACAAGACUUCCUUGGUGAUCCAGUGGUUAAGAAUCCACCCACCAACACAGGGGUCAUGGGUUGGACCCCUGGUUGGGGAGGAUCCCAUAUGCCCUGGGGAAACUAAGCCCAUGCACCACAACUGCUGAGCCCACGUUCUAGAGCUCCUGCUCUGCCAAGAGAAGCCACCAGGACUAGAAUAGAUCCUGUUCACUGCAGCAGGAGAAAGCCGGUGCGCAACGACGAAGACCCAGCACAGCUGAAAUAAACAAAAUGUUUUAAAAAAUAAAAAUAAUAAAGAAAUUCACAGUUAGCUGAGGAAACAC
ensembl:lncRNA